rnacentral:rRNA from 1 species
GAUGAACGCUAGCUACAGGCUUAACACAUGCAAGUCGAGGGAAACGGCAUUUUAGCUUGCUAAGAUGGACGUCGACCGGCGAAUGGGUGAGUAACGCGUAUCCAACCUUCCGUUAAGUAGGGAAUAGCCUUGCGAAAGUAAGAUUAAUGCCCUAUGUGGUGUUUUGAGGACAUCUGAAGAGCACCAAAGGUUUACCGCUUAACGAUGGGGAUGCGUCUGAUUAGGUUGUUGGCGGGGCAACGGCCCACCAAGCCUACGAUCAGUAGGGGUUCUGAGAGGAAGGUCCCCCACAUUGGAACUGAGACACGGUCCAAACUCCUACGGGAGGCAGCAGUGAGGAAUAUUGGUCAAUGGGCGUGAGCCUGAACCAGCCAAGUAGCGUGCGGGACGAAGGCCCUAUGGGUUGUAAACCGCUUUUUCAGGGGGAUAAAGUGAGUGACGUGUCAUUCAUUGCAGGUACCCUGCGAAUAAGGACCGGCUAAUUCCGUG